rnacentral:misc_RNA from 1 species
UCUCCGUAGGUGAACCUGCGGAGGGAUCAUUACAGAGUUCAUGCCCUACCGGGUAGAUCUCCCACCCUAUGUUAUUAUUACUUUGUUGCUUUGGCGGGCCGUUAGGCUCCGGCCCGACUACCGGCCCCGGCUGGUAAGCGCCCGCCAGAGGACCCAAAACCCUGAAUAUUAGUGUCGUCCGAGUACUAUAUAAUAGUUAAAACUUUCAACAACGGAUCUCUUGGUUCUG